GGGCAAAGCCAGCACAAUUCAAACACAGCCCUGGCCAAUCAGCUUCUCCUCAUAGAGAUGAACUGAAUCAAUUAAUCUCUAUGAGGAAAGUUCAGUGUCUGCAUGCAGAGGGUGGAGAUACUGAAUGUUUGGAUGCAUUUUAGGCAGCCAUGACCCAGGAAGGAUCUCUAACAGCCAUCUGAGGAGUGGCCAGUGGAGGUAUCUCUAGUCUGUAAUGUAAACACUGCAUUUUCUCUGAAAAGACAGUGUUUACAGCAAAAAGCCUGAAGGUAAUGAUUCUGGUGACUAUAGGGUCCCUUUAAUCAAAUUUCUUUUAAUCUACGCCCAAAUUAAUCUAUGAGUCACGUAAAUCCUUGCUUGUUAGAUUGGUUGGGUGUGGAUUACCAGGAAUUUGAUUAGUUCAUCGCAGGUAAAAUUUCUACCAAUGACCAGCUCACGUGGGUUCUACAGUAAAAAGAAAUACUACAAAGACAAAACAGACUCUGAACUCAUUACUGCAGCAAUCGAUUAAUACACCACCGUGGGACAGACACUAUGGCUUCAAUUAUUG